UACGAAGGGGGCUAGCGUUGCUCGGAAUUACUGGGCGUAAAGCGCACGUAGGCGGCUCUUUAAGUCAGGGGUGAAAUCCUGGAGCUCAACUCCAGAACUGCCUUUGAUACUGAAGAUCUUGAGUUCGGGAGAGGUGAGUGGAACUGCGAGUGUAGAGGUGAAAUUCGUAGAUAUUCGCAAGAACACCAGUGGCGAAGGCGGCUCACUGGCCCGAUACUGACGCUGAGGCACGAAAGCGUGGGGAGCAAACAGG
rnacentral:rRNA from 1 species